GACGAACGCUGGCGGCGUGCUUAACACAUGCAAGUCGAGCGGUAAGGCCCCUUCGGGGGUACACGAGCGGCGAACGGGUGAGUAACACGUGAGCAAUCUGCCCAUCACAUCGGGAUAACUCCGGGAAACCGAAGCUAAUACCGAAUACGACCACCUCCGGCAUCGGAUGGUGGUGGAAAGUUCCGGCGGUGAUGGAUGAGCUCGCGGCCUAUCAGCUUGUUGGUGGGGUAACGGCCCACCAAGGCUUCGACGGGUAGCCGGCCUGAGAGGGUGACCGGCCACACUGGGACUGAGACACGGCCCAGACUCCUACGGGAGGCAGCAGUGGGGAAUAUUGGACAAUGGGCGAAAGCCUGAUCCAGCAACGCCGCGUGAGGGAUGACGGCCUUCGGGUUGUAAACCUCUUUCAGCAGGGACGAAGCGCAAGUGACGGUACCUGCAGAAGAGGCACCGGCCAACUACGUG
rnacentral:rRNA from 1 species